rnacentral:rRNA from 1 species
UACGUAGGGGGCGAGCGUUGUCCGGAGUUACUGGGCGUAAAGCGCACGCAGGCGGUCUGCUAAGUUUGGAGUGACAGUUGGUGGCUUAACUGCCAAAGUGCUUCGAAAACUGACAGACUUGAGGGCUUCAGAGGGACACGGAAUCCGGGUGGAGUGGUGAAAUGCGUAGAGAUCCGGAGGAACACCAAAGGCGAAGGCAGUGUCCUGGGGAGUACCUGACGCUCA